rnacentral:rRNA from 1 species
UGGCAGGUCAGCAUACUGCCGUGAAUACGUUCCCGGGCCUUGUACACACCGCCCGUCACACCAUGAGAGUUGGGGAUACCCGAAGCCUGUGAGCUAACUUUAGAGGCAGCAGUCGAAGGUAGAAUCAAUGAUUGGGGUGAAGUCGUAACAAGGUAAC